rnacentral:rRNA from 1 species
AUGAGUGCGGCACUGGGGGUGGAAGGUUGGCCGGAGGCAGCACCGAGGCGAGCUGUGCGGCAGGAGGCUUCGCGGCGGGUGACGGCCUCGCCCGCCGGCGGCCGCGUCGCAGUCCGCAUCGAUCCCCAGCCCCCUUCGUUGCUCGUGGCGAUGGCUCGAACUUCAUCUCCGAGCACCCGAGAUCCCCUGCUUCCAAGCCUGGAAGGUCAUCGACUCGUAAGUCUACAAGCUGUCCCACGGCUGCCUUCAUUUCCACCCAGAAAGGAUGCUCAACGGGACUUGGUCACGCCGAGAUAUCAGCAACAAUCGACACCGACAAAGCUCAAUUAUCUAUUGCAUAUUCAGAAGAAAGCAACUCCUGUCGACAAUCAAGGCACUAUGACAGGUAGCUCAAGCCUAAGAUGCAAACAUCUCAAGGAAUGGAGUUGCUGA